AUAUCAAUAAGCGGAGGAAAAGAAACCAACAGGGAUUGCCUCAGUAACGGCGAGUGAAGCGGCAACAGCUCAAAUUUGAAAUCUGGCCUCACGGUCCGAGUUGUAAUUUGUAGAGGAUGCUUUGGGUGCGGUCCGGUCUAAAUUCCUUGGAACAGGGUAUCAUAGAGGGUGAGAAUCCCGUAUGCGACUGGGUGCCAACCCCGUGUAAAGCUCCUUCGACGAGUCGAGUUGUUUGGGAAUGCAGCUCUAAAUGGGUGGUAAAUUUCAUCUAAAGCUAAAUAUUGGCCAGAGACCGAUAGCGCACAAGUAGAGUGAUCGAAAGAUGAAAAGCACUUUGGAAAGAGAGUUAAACAGUAC
rnacentral:rRNA from 1 species